rnacentral:rRNA from 1 species
GAUGAACGCUGGCGGCGUGCCUAAUACAUGCAAGUCGAGCGAACGGACGAGAAGCUUGCUUUUCUGAUGUUAGCGGCGGGCGGGUGAGUAACACGUGGAUAACCUACCUAUAAGACUGGGAUAACUUCGGGAAACCGGAGCUAAUACCGGAUAAUAUUUUGAACCGCAUGGUUCAAAAGUGAAAGACGGUCUUGCUGUCACUUAUAGAUGGAUCCGCGCUGCAUUAGCUAGUUGGUAAGGUAACGGCUUACCAAGGCAACUAUGCAUAGCCGACCUGAGAGGGUGAUCGGCCACACUGGAACUGAGACACGGUCCAGACUCCUACGGGAGGCAGCAGUAGGGAAUCUUCCGCAAUGGGCGAAAGCCUGACGGAGCAACGCCGCGUGAGUGAUGAAGGUCUUCGGAUCGUAAAACUCUGUUAUUAGGGAAGAACAUAUGUGUAAGUAACUGUGCACAUCUUGACGGUACCUAAUCAGAAAGCCACGGCUAACUACGUG